rnacentral:rRNA from 1 species
GUGGGGAAUUUUGGACAAUGGGCGCAAGCCUGAUCCAGCAAUGCCGCGUGCAGGAAGAAGGCCUUCGGGUUGUAAACUGCUUUUGUACGGAACGAAACGGUCCGGGUUAAUACCCUGGGCUAAUGACGGUACCGUAAGAAUAAGCACCGGCUAACUACGUGCCAGCAGCCGCGGUAAUACGUAGGGUGCAAGCGUUAAUCGGAAUUACUGGGCGUAAAGCGUGCGCAGGCGGUUUUGUAAGACAGGCGUGAAAUCCCCGGGCUCAACCUGGGGAUUGCGCUUGUGACUGCAAGGCUGGAGUGCGGCAGAGAGGGAUGGAAUUCCGCGUGUAGCAGUGAAAUGCGUAGAUAUGCGGAGGAACACCGAUGGCGAAGGCAAUCCCCUGGGCCUGCACUGACGCUCAUGCACGAAAGCGUGGGGAGCAAACAGGAUUAGAAACCCUUGUAGUCC